CCUACGGGCGACAGCAGUGAGGAAUAUUGGUCAAUGGACGCAAGUCUGAACCAGCCAUGCCGCGUGCAGGAAGACGGCUCUAUGAGUUGUAAACUGCUUUUGUACGAGGGUAAACUCAGAUACGCGUAUCUGUCUGAAAGUAUCGUACGAAUAAGGAUCGGCUAACUCCGUGCCAGCAGCCGCGGUAAUACGGAGGAUUCAAGCGUUAUCCGGAUUUAUUGGGUUUAAAGGGUGCGUAGGCGGUCGGAUAAGUUAGAGGUGAAAUCCCGAGGCUCAACUUCGGAAUUGCCUCUGAUACUGGUAGGCUAGAGAGUAGUUGCGGUAGGCGGAAUGUAUGGUGUAGCGGUGAAAUGCUUAGAGAUCAUACAGAACACCGAUUGCGAAGGCAGCUUACCAAGCUACUUCUGACGUUGAGGCACGAAAGCGUGGGGAGCAAACAGGAUUAGAUACCCCAGUAGUC
rnacentral:rRNA from 1 species